GACGAACGCUGGCGGCGUGCUUAACACAUGCAAGUCGAGCGGUAAGGCCCUUUUGGGGGUACACGAGCGGCGAACGGGUGAGUAACACGUGGGUGACCUGCCUUCAGCUUCGGGAUAAGCUUGGGAAACUGGGUCUAAUACCGGAUAUGACUUGGCCUCGCAUGGGGUUGGGUGGAAAGUUUUUUCGGCUGGAGAUGGGCCCGCGGCCUAUCAGCUUGUUGGUGGGGUGAUGGCCUACCAAGGCGACGACGGGUAGCCGGCCUGAGAGGGCGACCGGCCACACUGGGACUGAGAUACGGCCCAGACUCCUACGGGAGGCAGCAGUGGGGAAUCUUGCGCAAUGGGCGGAAGCCUGACGCAGCGACGCCGCGUGGGGGAUGA
rnacentral:rRNA from 1 species